rnacentral:ncRNA from 2 species
UGAUAUUCUCAGGGCGGGGUGUAAUUCCCCACCGGCGGUAACCAAUUAAGGGAGUCCGCGAGCGUUUUUCUUAUGAAAGAGUCAGCAGAUCUGGUGAAAAUCCAGAACCGACGGUAAUAGUCCGGAUGAAAGAGAAUACGA